AGGAAACUCUGGUGGAGGUCCGUAGCGGUCCCGACGUGCAGAUCUGUCAUCUGACCCAGGUCUAGGGGCGAAAGACUAAUCGAACCAUCUAGUAGCUGGUUCCCUCUGAAGUUUCCCUCAGGAUAGCUGGCACUCGGCAAUGGGCAGUUUUACCCGGUAAAGCGAAUGAUUAGAGGCCUUGGGGCCGAAACGAUCUCAACCUAUUCUCAAACUUUAUAAUCUUUAUUGGCUCUUCUUGCAAAUCUCUUAUUUUAUCACUUUUUUUUUUCCUUUCCCUGUAAUGAUGGCUAUGCUACUAUGUUUCAUAUGACAUGGUGGUACCAAGUUUCAGGUGUUUCACCAAGUAACUCUAUUUCCUUUUUGGGCAGGAAAGGAGGGGAGUAUUCUAAAUCUUAUAAUUUUUUGACAUACAAGGUUUUAAUUAUCCAAAU
rnacentral:ncRNA from 1 species